CUUGCGCUAGCUUACCACCAAUUCUUGGUGAUUGCAGCACGCGUAGACCAUGUCCUCCUUCGAGGGCUAUAGGCAGAACAACGACAGCGACAGAACACAGGUGCGCGUCGCCAUCAAAGUUGUCAUUGUCUUUCCCAAGCGCCAUGUUUUAUCGCCGCGAUCUCGAGAUCACAUCGAUCGCACAACUUGUGCUGUGCAAGUUCAAGAGCUGUGCAGCAAAGUAGACUAUUGUCGGGGCAGAAGAUCUCCUUUCAAGAAGGGAAAGCCCUGAUGAGGUGUUGCCAAAGGCCAGCAAUGCAUUUAUGCAGUUAGAUCCCAACCACCGAGGAUAAUGAUCAGAUCUAUUCAAUGCAACUUUUACGUGGAUUUUUGCAGUAAGUGCAACCUCGUAUCCUGUAUGCAUUCUUGGUGUGCCCACCACCAUAGCCUUGCUGAGAGUGUGCUGUGGGGUGUCACCAGGCGAGAGGUCCUAGGAGAGCAGCAAAGGUGUGUUGACAUCGCCAGCAGUGUAGAGAUGGUGUUCAGACGGCUUUUCGAAAACCUGUUUCAAAACAGUGUAUUGGCUUGGUUACACAGCCUGCCAUAAAUCCAACACUUGUUUGAGACUGAAACAAACCUGCCUUCUUUGCUAGCAGCAAGCUUUGAUCGCCACCGUGCUUGCAACAGGCACCACCUCCACCAUCAAAGCAGCCAGCUCCUUAUGGACCUACACCCAACUCAACCACAGUGACGCCCAUGCACCAUGACGGCAGAAGC
rnacentral:lncRNA from 1 species